rnacentral:rRNA from 1 species
CACGGGGGGAGCAAGCGUUGUUCGGAUUCAUUGGGCGUAAAGAGCUCGUAGGCGGCUCGGUAAGUCGGAUGUGAAACCUCCAGGCUCAACCUGGAGACGCCACUCGAUACUGCUGUGGCUAGAGUCCAGUAGAGGAGUGUGGAAUUCCCGGUGUAGCGGUGAAAUGCGCAGAUAUCGGGAGGAACACCAACGGCGAAGGCAGCACUCUGGGCUGGAACUGACGCUGAGGAGCGAAAGCGUGGGUAGCAAACAGG